GUGAUCUAAUCAAAAUCUAAUUCACCAGGUUGGCUAGGUAAGUGAGAUCAGUGGUGGGGAUAAGCCAUUAACUCGUCAGAGAUCGAAUCUCUGCGAGUAGCUCCCACUUAAAAACCACUGGUCAAACUGUCAAACUUACCUUAGAUACCAACCGGUUCAUUAGUUUUAAUUUGAUCAACUUAGUAAAUAGGGUUCCACCGCAUAGCCAUGAAUUAAGUCCAUCUUGAUCUAGUUAAAGACAUGGACCCAUUCAACUACAACUAUUGGAGUUAAGUAUAGAGUAUCCUUGACCUAAUCUAAUUCAACUUUUGAUUAGAUUUGACCAAUUACUCUAAUUUAGUCCAUUUCUUUAAGCUAACCUUAGGUCUAACCCAAUUAUGGACCUAAUCCAUCUAACCCAUUGACCCACAAGUUUAUGCAAUUGUCUUAGGUCUUAAU
rnacentral:lncRNA from 1 species